CGGGUGAGUAACACGUGGAUAACCUACCUAUAAGACUGGGAUAACUUAGGGAAACCGGAGCUAAUACCGGAUAAUAUUUUGAACCGCAUGGUUCAAAAGUGAAAGACGGUCUUGCUGUCACUUAUAGAUGGAUCCGCGCUGCAUUAGCUAGUUGGUAAGGUAACGGCUUACCAAGGCAACGAUGCAUAGCCGACCUGAGAGGGUGAUCGGCCACACUGGAACUGAGACACGGUCCAG
rnacentral:rRNA from 1 species